AUUGAACGCUGGCGGCAGGCCUAACACAUGCAAGUCGAGCGGAUGAAGGGAGCUUGCUCCUGGAUUCAGCGGCGGACGGGUGAGUAAUUCCUAGGAAUCUGCCUUGUAGUGGGGGAUAACGUCCGGUAACGGGCGCUAAUACCGCAUACGUCCUGAGGGAGAAAGUGGGGGAUCUUCGGACCUCACGCUAUCAGAUGACCCUAGGUCGGAUUAGCUAGUUGGUGGGGUAAAGGCCUACCAAGGCGACGAUCCGUAACUGGUCUGAGAGGAUGAUCAGUCACACUGGAACUGAGACACGGUCCAGACUCCUACGGGAGGCAGCAGUGGGGAAUAUUGGACAAUGGGCGAAAGCCUGAUCCAGCCAUGCCGCGUGUGUGAAGAAGGUCUUCGGAUUGUAAAGCACUUUAAGUUGGGAGGAAGGGCAGUAAGUUAAUACCUUGCUGUUUUGACGUUACCAACAGAAUAAGCACCGGCUAACUUCGUG
rnacentral:rRNA from 1 species